rnacentral:piRNA from 1 species
UACUUUGAAUCUGAUUAUGCUGCAUGAACUC